GAUAUGGUGCCCAGAAUUGCUCUCAAUAUUCCAAAUGUGGGCAUACUAGCACAUUAUAGAGCCUCAGCAUUACAUACCUGUUUUUGUAUAUAAACCCUCUUAAACAC